UUUCAAAUAAAUAUCUAAGCUCAAACCCUAUUCCACCCCGCAGUCGCCGAUAUUCGUGAUAAUGGUAAGUCAAAAGUUACUUUCUGGAACUAAAUUUCAGCUUUCCUUUUUAGGUUCCGCUGAUUCAGGUUUUGGUUAUUAUUAAUUAGUAGUCUUGCAUUUUGUAAGUUUGUUUCAAAUUCAGCUUCCUCUUCCCUUGUUUCAGUCGGAAAAGUUUUCACUCUUAUAUUUGUAGUUAGUUCUGUUUAUUUAUUUAUGCUAUGAUUUCUUAUUGAAUCUUGCAAUUUUAAGGACUGUAGUAGUUAUAGGAGCUUAAAAAUGGGGAAAUUUUAUAAUACCCAUUUGGUUAAUUUUGAUACUUGGAUGAACUUCCAUAUUAGGGGUUUUAGAAUUUGGAUGAUAUCCUGUAGAUACCCGUUUUUGGUUAUUAAUUAUUCUUUCAAUAGUAGUAUCGGGAAUAUUGUUCCUUGCACAAUCACUCCAUGUUGAGAAGGUUGUGGAGCUAAGCUUAAGAAGGUUAGCAGGAUGCUUAGGUUUGCUCCAUUGUUGGGAUGUAUUGGAGGCUCAGAUAUGGAUAUUGUUAAGAACCUACUUCUUAACGUUUCUUUGGAGCACUAAGUGUUUUUUUUUCUCCCAUCUCAUUGAUCAAAUUGUGCACUUGCACUUAAGUUUGCAAGUAGCAGUCUCCUUGUUAAAAUAAGUUUCAUUAGUAUAACUUCCACUAAACUACCAUUAUAUCCACUAUUUUCAUAACUUUUCUCUCAUUACCCACUAUAGGUAAUAUGAAUGUGAUUUCAUUCAUUUUCAUUGAACACGUUGUUGUGAAUUAAUCCACAUCUCUCCUACGUUCCAUGAAAUAUGUCACUUGUUUCAUAACUGUUAUUUGAGAUGAAUUCCUUUCCAAGGCCUAUAAAUAGAGGUUUGAAUGUCUUAUUUGGGGACUUUUUUUGUAUCAUUUAUCAAACUUUGUAACUUGCUUUCUAUAAUCAAAACAACCACUCUAACUCUCAUCCUUCUCAGUCCCUUAUUGUGUCCAUCAAAACUGCUUGCCAUCACACUUGUUCUCCAUAGUCUGCUCCGAUCUUCUUCUCCGUCAUCUCUCCAUGACUCCUCUUUUAGCUAGAUUGUAAUGUGUCCUCAUCUUACUAAAGGAACCCUUUACAUUUUGGAUGAUACCCCAAUGUUAUGUGUGUAACUGCAUUUGCUUUCUUUGCCUCUGGAAUGAUGCUUCAUUAGCCAAAUCAGACUUUUUGAUGUGCUCCAUAAGGCAUCAGCUUCAAAGCUAUUUUCUUGAUGUGUUUUUUUAUAAGCGCAACGGUUACCUCUUAGUAACUCUAAUCUAGCUUUGUAUGGGAUGCCUUUUGUUGAAGUGCAUUCUCUGACGAUACCUUCGGGAUUGGUUGCUUGUCUGACCAGAGUUGUUUUCCUUUUUCUCCACCCUUUAUUAUGAUUCUUCAUAUUAGUCGCAAAUGUUACAUGGUGACCGGACAUAUGUUCUUCGGAACAUCGAUUCCAGAAUCAACUAUAACAUGCAAAUCAUCUGCCUUUGGAGUUUGAGCAAUGGUUCCGUAUUCAGCUAGUGGGAAUUGUUUGAUGUGCAAUUUUAAGUUAUAUUUCUGCAGCUCAUUGAUAUUGUAUGAAUGUUCCCUUGCUAUUCGGAGAAGCUGGGUAAUAGUGUUUAAUUAUUGCUUUGUGAUGCUACUAAUGCUACUAUAAUUUCAUUUCUUUGUCACAAUCUUUUCAACUUGUCCAUAUUGUUUGUGUUUCUGCUUCUGUUGGCUCUCAAUAAUGAACUAAUGACACUGGAUUUUCCAACAAUCAGCAUGUUUCAACUUUCAACUACUCAUUUUUGCCUAAAACAUAAUCCUUUUUAUUUGCAUUGAGCAAAUUUGUAGUGCUCUUUUCAGUAGUUGGAAGAAAUUUGAUAAGAAACAGUUUGGCAGACUUGAAGCAUUCCGUUACUUUACGAACUGUUUAAACGGAAAGCUCUGUUGUGCCGCCCUGCUGUUCCGAAGACGGUGGAAGGAAGAUUACUAAUGGAAAACAGAUGCAGUGUUGUCUUGAACUUGUUUGGGCUUUGUUUUGUUGAUGUAAAACUUUAGAACAAAAAGUGAAUUUGCUUUUUUCAACUUUCUAUUGGUUAACUUAAGCUAUGAGUACUAUGCUGGAACUGCAAUUUCCACCUUUGGCAAGAUUUAGUGUUCUUUUAUUUAAUUAAUCCCCUCAAAUCAUGUCAAUAACAAUUCUAUGGCUGUUGGCAAGAAUUUGGAAUUUGUGAAAGAUAAUCAUCUUAUUGUUGAUGUUUUCGAGACUUGGUUGGCUUACAAAGAAAUGAUAGACCCUCAAUAAUCGACACUCUUGGAAACAAGUGCUUGUUGCACUAAUGUCAUUCAUACCGUUGAUAUAUUUGCUUAUUUCAAUUGGAUAAAUUUUGUUUGUGCCGUCCAAAAACCUUAACCCAUUCUUGUUAAUUCUAAAUUUCGAGUAUUACAUUGACAAAUCAUAUUAAACUUGUG
rnacentral:lncRNA from 1 species